UACGGGGGGGGCAAGCGUUGUUCGGAAUUACUGGGCGUAAAGGGCUCGUAGGCGGCCAACUAAGUCGGACGUGAAAUCCCCAGGCUCAACCUGGGAACUGCGUCCGAUACUGGAUGGCUUGAAUUCGGGAGAGGGAUGCAGAAUUCCAGGUGUAGCGGUGAAAUGCGUAGAUAUCUGGAGGAAUACCGGUGGCGAAGGCGGCAUCCUGGACCGACAUUGACGCUGAGGAGCGAAAGCGUGGGGGGCGAACAGG
rnacentral:rRNA from 1 species